rnacentral:rRNA from 1 species
GACGAACGCUGGCGGCGUGCUUAACACAUGCAAGUCGAACGGAAAGGCCCUGCUUUUGUGGGGUGCUCGAGUGGCGAACGGGUGAGUAACACGUGAGUAACCUGCCCUUGACUUUGGGAUAACUUCAGGAAACUGGGGCUAAUACCGGAUAGGAGCUCCUGCUGCAUGGUGGGGGUUGGAAAGUUUCGGCGGUUGGGGAUGGACUGGCGGCUUAUCAGCUUGUUGGUGGGGUAGUGGAUUACCAAGGCUUUGACGGGUAGCCGGCCUGAGGGGGUGACCGGCCACAUUGGGACGGAAAUACGGCCCAGACUCCUACGGGAGGCAACGGUGGGGAAUAUUGCACAGUAGGCGGAAGCCUGAUGCAGCAACGCCGCGUGCGGGAUGACGGCCUUCGGGUUGUAAACCGCUUUCGCCUGAGACGAAGCGUGAGUGACGGUAAUGGGUAAAGAAGCACCGGCUAACUACGUG